GCCUAACACAUGCAAGUCGAGCGAGACCUUCGGGUCUAGCGGCGGACGGGUUAGUAACGCGUGGGAACAUACCCUUCUCUAAGGAAUAGCCACUGGAAACGGUGAGUAAUACCUUAUACGCCCUUCGGGGGAAAGAUUUAUCGGAGAAGGAUCGGCCCGCGUUAGAUUAGAUAGUUGGUGGGGUAAUGGCCUACCAAGUCUACGAUCUAUAGCUGGUUUGAGAGGAUGAUCA
rnacentral:rRNA from 1 species